CUGUACGAGAGGACCUUCUGAACAGAGACUGUUCAGAAGGUCCUCUCGUACAG
rnacentral:pre_miRNA from 1 species